rnacentral:rRNA from 1 species
UACGUAGGGGGCAAGCGUUAUCCGGAUUUACUGGGUGUAAAGGGAGCGUAGACGGCAUAGCAAGUCUGAAGUGAAAGCCCGUGGCUCAACCGCGGAACUGCCUUGGAAACUGUUAAGCUGGAGUACUGGAGAGGCAAGCGGAAUUCCUAGUGUAGCGGUGAAAUGCGUAGAUAUUAGGAGGAACACCAGUGGCGAAGGCGGCUUGCUGGACAGAGACUGACGUUGAGGCUCGAAAGCGUGGGGAGCAAACAGG